rnacentral:rRNA from 1 species
GAUGAACGCUGGCGGCGUGCCUAAUACAUGCAAGUCGAGCGAACAGACGAGGAGCUUGCUCCUCUGACGUUAGCGGCGGACGGGUGAGUAACACGUGGAUAACCUACCUAUAAGACUGGGAUAACUUCGGGAAACCGGAGCUAAUACCGGAUAAUAUAUUGAACCGCAUGGUUCAAUAGUGAAAGACGGUUUUGCUGUCACUUAUAGAUGGAUCCGCGCCGCAUUAGCUAGUUGGUAAGGUAACGGCUUACCAAGGCGACGAUGCGUAGCCGACCUGAGAGGGUGGUCGGCCACACGGGAACGGAGACACGGUCCAGACUCCUACGGGAGGCAGCAGUAGGGAAUCGUCCGCAAUGGGCGAAAGCCUGACGGAGCAACGCCGCGUGAGUGAUGAAGGUCUUCGGAUCGUAAAACUCUGUUAUUAGGGAAGAACAAAUGUGUAAGUAACUAUGCACGUCUUGACGGUACCGAAUCAGAAAGCCACGGCUAACUACGUG